GUAGUCCACGCCGUAAACGAUGAGUGCUAAGUGUUAGAGGGUUUCCGCCCCUUAGUGCUGCAGCUAACGCAUUAAGCACUCCGCCUGGGGAGUACGGUCGCAAGACUGAAACUCAAAGGAAUUGACGGGGGCCCGCACAAGCGGUGGAGCAUGUGGUUUAAUUCGAAGCAACGCGAAGAACCUUACCAGGUCUUGACAUCCUCUGACAACUCUAGAGAUAGAGCGUUCCCCUUCGGGGGACAGAGUGACAGGUGGUGCAUGGUUGUCGUCAGCUCGUGUCGUGAGAUGUUGGGUUAAGUCCCGCAACGAGCGCAACCCUUGAUCUUAGUUGCCAGCAUUUAGUUGGGCACUCUAAGGUGACUGCCGGUGACAAACCGGAGGAAGGUGGGGAUGACGUCAAAUCAUCAUGCCCCUUAUGACCUGGGCUACACACGUGCUACAAUGGAUGGUACAAAGGGCUGCAAGACCGCGAGGUCAAGCCAAUCCCAUAAAACCAUUCUCAGUUCGGAUUGUAGGCUGCAACUCGCCUACAUGAAGCUGGAAUCGCUAGUAAUCGCGGAUCAGCAUGCCACGGUGAAUA
rnacentral:rRNA from 1 species